UGGUUUACUUACUACAAGUCCCAAGAUGCACUGCAGUUUUUGGCUUAACUUCAGAUUAGAGCAUAGCAUGCUGGGACCUGUAGUUGAUUUAAACAGAA
rnacentral:miRNA from 1 species